rnacentral:rRNA from 1 species
AUGGAGCGGCAUGUGUCCUUUGAGGCGAUGGCGAAGCCACCGACGACGGAAGACGACGACCUGCUGCCCACCUACUGGUCCUGGAAAAGCAUGCCGACGCCCUUCACCAAGGACGAGAUGAUCUUCUCCUACGCGCUGCACCCGGACGGGCGCACAUAUUCGUGUCCUCGUGGAGCAGGGCGGUCUGCGGCACAUACUCCGUCGACACCAGGAGCUGCAAGUGGAGGCGCCAUGGGGAGUGGAUGCUGCCUUUCAGAGGCCGAGGCUACUUCGCCGCCGAGCUAG